GCGGUGAGAGGAUCGGGGAGCUAGCCGUUCCCUGUGACCCGAAAUCGGCUACACGCGGGGAUCCGUUAACCAGGGAGGCGGUGACUCAACCCGGCGUAGGCCCGGACAUGCCGACUUUGAGCUCCUGACCCGCCGGGCCGACGUCGAGGCGUCCUCCCCUGAAGGGGGGAGGCGACCUUCCAACCACCGAACCCGGCGAGGCUCGGGAGAGAGCAGCCGUAAGGUGGGCGGCCAGGCGCUGGCGGGAGGCCAGGGGUGAGGAGGGUGUCUGGAAACCGCGCCGGCGAGGGUCAUCAACUCCUCUGGGAUGUCACCGC
rnacentral:SRP_RNA from 1 species